UAGCCCAACGAGAUCGGGAUAACACCUGGAAACAGAUGCUAAUACCGGAUAACAACAGAUGAUGCCUAUCAACNGUUUAAAAGAUGGUUCUGCUAUCACUCUUGGAUGGACCUGCGGUGCAUUAGCUAGUUGGUAGGGUAACGGCCUACCAAGGCGAUGAUGCAUAGCCGAGUUGAGAGACUGAUCGGCCACAUUGGGACUGAGACACGGCCCAAACUCCUACGGGAGGCAGCAGCC
rnacentral:rRNA from 1 species